rnacentral:lncRNA from 1 species
UGAUAAGGAAAAAGACAUGUAUAAGAAUAUUCAUAGCCUCUCUGUUUGGCUGUAUGACUGAACAAAUUGUGGUAUAUGUUGGUGAUGGAAUGCUAUUGUGCUCAAAGGAAUAAUGAACUGGAGGAAUUUCAUGUGAACUGGAAAGACCUCCAGGAAUUGAUACAGAAUGAAAGGAAUAGAACCAGAACACUGUACACAGAGACUGAUGCACUGUGAUAAAUUCAAAUGUAAUGGACUUCUCCAUUAGUGGCAAUGCAGUGAUCCUGAACAACCCAGAGGGAUCUACAACAAGUCAAACCUCAACAUACCAAGCUCAACAAUUGAGAGAAAACAAACUGGUCUCACCACCUGCUUUUUCUUCACAGUCUCACAUGCUAUUGAAUACUACUGGAAUAAAUUAUUGCUGGAUCCACUUCAAAAUCACAUUUUCUUAUCAUCACUGACCUCUUACUGCUGCAUGAUAGUAUUUUCUUUCUUCUCUGAUUGAUUCUUUAUCACAUAUUCCCAUAGAGUCUAUCCUAAAUAAGCC